rnacentral:rRNA from 1 species
GGGAGACAGGUGGUGCAUGGUUGUCGUCUAGCUCGUGUCGUGAGAUGUUGGUUAAGUCCGCAACGAGCGCAACCCCUACGUUUAGUUGCUAACGCGUGAAGGCGAGCACUCUAGACGAACUGCCGUUGACAAAACGGAGGAAGGUGGGGAUGACGUCAAAUCAUCAUGCCCCUUAUGUUCUGGGCUACACACGUGCUACAAUGGCCGGUACAGACGGACGCAAAGCCGCGAGGCGGAGCAAAUCCGAAAAAGCCGGUCUCAGUUCGGAUUGCAGGCUGCAAUUCGCCUGCAUGAAGUCGGAAUCGCUAGUAAUCGCAGGUCAGCAUACUCGCGGUCCGAAUACGUUCCGGGCCUU